rnacentral:rRNA from 1 species
GUUGACCUCGGAUCAGGUAGGGAUACCCGCUGAACUUAAGCAUAUCAAUAAGCGGAGGAAAAGAAACCAACAGGGAUUGCCCUAGUAACGGCGAGUGAAGCGGCAACAGCUCAAAUUUGAAAUCUGGCGCAAGCCCGAGUUGUAAUUUGUAGAGGAUGCUUCAGGGCAGCGGCCGGUCUAAGUUCCUUGGAACAGGACGUCAUAGAGGGUGAGAAUCCCGUAUGCGACCGGUUGGCACCCGUCACGUAGCUCCUUCGACGAGUCGAGUUGUUUGGGAAUGCAGCUCUAAAUGGGAGGUAAAUUUCUUCUAAAGCUAAAUACCGGCCAGAGACCGAUAGCGCACAAGUAGAGUGAUCGAAAGAUGAAAAGCACUUUGGAAAGAGAGUUAAAAAGCACGUGAAAUUGUUGAAAGGGAAGCGCAUGCAACCAGACUUGUCGGCGGUGUUCCACCGGUCUUCUGACCGGUUCAUUCGCCGCCGGCAGGCCAGCAUCAUCUGGGAGCGCCGGAUAAAGGCGUAGGGAAUGUGGCUCCUCGGAGUGUUAUAGCCCUUCGCACAAUACGGCGCCUCUCGGGUGAGGUCCGCGCUUCGGCUAGGAUGCUGGCGUAAUGGUUGUCUGCGGCCCGUCUUGAAACACGGACCAAGGAGUCUAACAUCUAUGCGAGUGUUCGGGUGUCAAACCCCUACGCGUAAUGAAAGUGAACGGAGGUGGGAAGCGCAAGCUGCACCAUCGACCGAUCCUGAUGUCUUCGGAUGGAUUUGAGUAAGAGCAUAGCUGUUGGGACCCGAAAGAUGGUGAACUAUGCCUGAAUAGGGUGAAGCCAGAGGAAACUCUGGUGGAGGCUCGCAGCGGUUCUGACGUGCAAAUCGAUCGUCAAAUUUGGGUAUAGGGGCGAAAGACUAAUCGAACCAUCUAGUAGCUGGUUCCUGCCGA